CAGUAGCCACGGUAAUACGUAGGUGGCAAGCGUUGUCCGGAAUUAUUGGGCGUAAAGGGCUCGCAGGCGGUUUCUUAAGUCUGAUGUGAAAGCCCCGGCUCAACCGGGGAGGGUCAUUGGAAACUGGGAAACUUGAGUGCAGAAGAGGAGAGUGGAAUUCCACGUGUAGCGGUGAAAUGCGUAGAGAUGUGGAGGAACACCAGUGGCGAAGGCGACUCUCUGGUCUGUAACUGACGCUGAGGAGCGAAAGCGUGGGGAGCGAACAGGACUAGAUACCCCCGUAGUCCCUGUCUCUUAUACA
rnacentral:rRNA from 1 species